UACGUAGGGUGCAAGCGUUGUUCGGAAUCAUUGGGCGUAAAGAGCGUGUAGGUGGCUUGCCAAGUCAGAUGUGAAAGCCCUCGGCUCAACCGGGGGAAGUGCAUUUGAAACUGGCAGGCUAGAGAACGGUAGAGGAAGGUGGAAUUCCAAGUGUAGAGGUGAAAUUCGUAGAUAUUUGGAGGAAUACCUGUGGCGAAGGCGGCCUUCUGGGCCGUUUUCUGACACUGAGACGCGAAAGCGUGGGUAGCAAACAGG
rnacentral:rRNA from 1 species